rnacentral:rRNA from 1 species
CCCAGACUCCUACGGGAGGCAGCAGUGGGGGAUAUUGCACAAUGGGGGGAACCCUGAUGCAGCGACGCCGCGUGGGUGAAGGAGCGUUUCGGCGCGUAAAGCCCUCUCGGCAGGGAAGAAGGAGGACGGUACCUGACUAAGAAGCCCCGGCUAACUACGUGCCAGCAGCCGCGGUAAUACGUAGGGGGCAAGCGUUAUCCGGAUUUACUGGGUGUAAAGGGGGCGCAGACGGCAGCGCAAGCCAGGAGUGAAAGCCCGGGGCCCAACCCCGGGACUGCUCUUGGAACUGCGCGGCUGGAGUGCAGGAGGGGCAGGCGGAAUUCCUGGUGUAGCGGUGAAAUGCGUAGAUAUCAGGAGGAACACCGGUGGCGAAGGCGGCCUGCUGGACUGCGACUGACGUUGAGGCCCGAAAGCGUGGGGAGCAAACAGGAUUAGAUACCCGAGUAAA